rnacentral:rRNA from 1 species
GAGUUUGAUCCUGGCUCAGGACGAACGCUGGCGGCGCGCCUAACACAUGCAAGUCGAACGAGAGAGAGGAAGCUUGCUUCCUCAAUCGAGUGGCGAACGGGUGAGUAACGCGUGAGGAACCUGCCUCAAAGAGGGGGACAACAGUUGGAAACGACUGCUAAUACCGCAUAAGCCCACAGCUCGGCAUCGAGCAGAGGGAAAAGGAGCAAUCCGCUUUGAGAUGGCCUCGCGUCCGAUUAGCUAGUUGGUGAGGUAACGGCCCACCAAGGCAACGAUCGGUAGCCGGACUGAGAGGUUGAACGGCCACAUUGGGACUGAGACACGGCCCAGACUCCUACGGGAGGCAGCAGUGGGGAAUAUUGCACAAUGGGGGAAACCCUGAUGCAGCGACGCCGCGUGGAGGAAGAAGGUCUUCGGAUUGUAAACUCCUGUUGUUGAGGAAGAUAAUGACGGUACUCAACAAGGAAGUGACGGCUAACUACGUGCCAGCAGCCGCGGUAAAACGUAGGUCACAAGCGUUGUCCGGAAUUACUGGGUGUAAAGGGAGCGCAGCGGGAAGACAAGUUGGAAGUGAAAUCUAUGGGCUCAACCCAUAAACUGCUUUCAAAACUGUUUUUCUUGAGUAGUGCAGAGGUAGGCGGAAUUCCCGGUGUAGCGGUGGAAUGCGUAGAUAUCGGGAGGAACACCAGUGGCGAAGGCGGNCUACUGGGCACCAACUGACGCUGAGGCUCGAAAGUGUGGGUAGCAAACAGGAUUAGAUACCUGGUAGUCCACACCGUAAACGAUGAUUACUAGGUGUUGGAGGAUUGACCCCUUCAGUGCCGCAGUUAACACAAUAAGUAAUCCACCUGGGGAGUACGACCGCAAGGUUGAAACUCAAAGGAAUUGACGGGGGCCCGCACAAGCAGUGGAGUAUGUGGUUUAAUUCGACGCAACGCGAAGAACCUUACCAAGUCUUGACAUCCUGCGACGCACAUAGAAAUAUGUGUUUCCUUCGGGACGCAGAGACAGGUGGUGCAUGGUUGUCGUCAGCUCGUGUCGUGAGAUGUUGGGUUAAGUUCCGCAACGAGCGCAACCCUUACUGUCAGUUACUACGCAAGAGGACUCUGGCAGGACUGCCGUUGACAAAACGGAGGAAGGUGGGGAUGACGUCAAAUCAUCAUGCCCUUUAUGACUUGGGCUACACACGUACUACAAUGGCGUUAAACAAAGAGAAGCAAGACCGCGAGGUGGAGCAAAACUCAGAAACAACGUCCCAGUUCGGACUGCAGGCUGCAACUCGCCUGCACGAAGUCGGAAUUGCUAGUAAUCGUGGAUCAGCAUGCCACGGUGAAUACGUUCCCGGGCCUUGUACACACCGCCCGUC